GGUGCUGCAUGGCUGUCGUCAGCUCGUGUCGUGAGAUGUUGGGUUAAGUCCCGGUUAACGACGCGCAACCCUUGUCCUUAGUUACCAGCACGUUAUGGUGGGCGACUCUAAGGAGACUGCCGGUGUUAAACCGGAGGAAGGUGGGGAUGACGUCAAGUCCUCAUGGCCUUUAUGACCAGGGCUACACACGUACUACAAUGGCCGAUACAAAGGGCAGCGACACUGCGAGGUGAAGCCAAUCCCGUAAAAUACGGUCUCAGUCCGGAUUGGAGUCUGCAACUCGACUCCAUGAAGUUGGAUUCGCUAGUAAUCGCGCAUCAGCCAUGGCGCGGUGAAUACGUUCCCGGGCCUU
rnacentral:rRNA from 1 species